rnacentral:misc_RNA from 1 species
GAUGAAGAACGUAGCGAAAUGCGAUACUUGGUGUGAAUUGCAGAAUCCCGUGAACCAUCGAGUCUUUGAACGCAAGUUGCGCCCGAAGCCACUAGGCCGAGGGCACGCCUGCCUGGGCGUCACACGCCGUUGCCCCCCCAUCUACUCCGUCGGGAUUGCGGGGGGGCGGAUGAUGGCCUCCCGUGCGCCUAGCCGCGCGGUUGGCAUAAAUACCAAGUCCUCGGCGACGCACGCCACGACAAUCGGUGGUUGCGAAACCUCGGUUGCCCGUCGUGUGCGUUCGUCGCGCAUCGAGGGCUCGAAAAAAUGCUCGGCUCCGGCUGGGCUUUCAACGCGACCCCAGGUCAGGCGGGGUUACCCGCUGAAUUUAAGCAUAUCAAUAAGCGGAGGA